rnacentral:lncRNA from 1 species
GCGUGUGUGCAUAUGUAUAAAAACAUUUGGAGGGUUUCUUCAUUUCGAAAGAUCUGAGCCCAUGUUUGUCUUUAUAUUGUUGGCCUUAAUCUAGCUCCUAGGUACUGUGUCUAUCUUGCUGCUGUUUUCUAUAUGAAGCUGGUUGGGAGGAAACAAAAGAUUAUCUGGUCCCCCAGUAAAAAUCCUUGUGACUGGUGAUGUUGGUCUUCAUACAGUGUUGUUCAGGGGUGAGGUUUUAUUUUUAUAAUAAUUUUCCUACUGUAAAAAUUGUUGGAGUGUACGGAACGGAAAAGGUCUUUACAAAAUGAUCUGCUUGCUAAAGAUUUGAGUGUUACUUAAUAAUAGCCACAAUUAUGGAUGGGGUGGGACAUAAAUGAGCUCCAUUUCCAGACCUUUUCCCUUCCCUACCUUCCCUUAAAAUUGCCCAAGUACUUUUUCUUUGGAUAUGGGCUUGUUAGGUAUGUUCUGAGACCUUGUAGAGAUCAUCUUCUGAGACCUUGCUGUUCUGAAUUAGGAGGAACUUGGAUUCCAGAGUCUGGUUCCCGUUCCAGCAGUAUGGGUAGCUUGGCAGUUGAUAAUAUUUUAUACAUAUGUAUUUGAUGGGAUAGAGAGAAUUGGUAGGACAAGUUACUGAAUUCUGAAAGUCAUGGUAACUUUUGGUGAAAGAUCAGACAUGAAAUUGGUCGGUCACUGUUGCAAUGUGGAAAAAACCUCAUUGCUGGCAUGCCUAGGCCAGAUUCACUGGAAUUUAGCCGGUCUGAUCAAACAACAAAUUUGGCCUGUGAAUGUUUUAUUCCCGCUCCCUCUUCCUGGGUGAUGGGAACAUCUGUAAAACACUGCUGAACUGGCUGGGUUCCUUACAAUGGAGCAGCCGGAAUGACGGGCUGGUGUUGCCUCUAGAUGCUGCUAUAUUUCUUCUUCCAAGCACCAUUCCUGGAAAUAACUAUGGUCUUAAUCUCUCGCACAGACAUUUGUAAAAAGGCUAGAAAGGGCCAAUUUGGCCAAUACGAUGACAUUUUGCAUUUUUUUCUCAUGUAUGUUGCUUCCAGAAGUGAUCAUCACUGUGUCCUGUGGUGGGGUGAGGGACAGAGUACUUCUGGAUGGAGUGGGUAUCUAGAGAGGAUGAGGAGGACAAUUCUGAGAGUCCUAAACCUUAUUUCCUGUGAAAGAAAUAUUAUGUAGCUGCACCCCCAUAGAGACCUUGCUGUCUUGAACUUCUGGAGGAUAAGGACUGUCCUUUACAUACCUGGUUCCUUGGCGCCCUGGCCUCAGUUGGUGACUGUAAUGUGGUAUGGUAACACCAGCACGAGUUCGCUUGGUUGGGGUCUGCAGUACAUUUCAGUACGUGGCAGGCAGGGAAGUGAAGAGAGGUGCUGGAUGCGGAUCCUUUGGUCCUGAUCCAGUCAUCCUCCAAGAAGGCGUGUGUCAGCAAGAAAGCCGAGAGGAUCGCUCCUGUGGGUAAGGCCUGGGCUCGCGUAAGGGACGUUCCUCUGAGCCCCAGAAUUUGUCCCAGGAUGUGCACAGCUGAGUGCUGAGGUGGUCUAGUUAUGUACGCACCUUAGGAUUUCUGUUCAUUUGGCACUUACAGGAUGGUUUUCCUCUGAGAGGUGGAGGCCGAGGGUCUUGUCAAGGUUUUGCCUUUAUGUGUUAUUGUCUUUAAUUCAUGUUUUCAUUUUUUAAUGUAAAUUAAUACUGUGGAAGAGCUGAGUGCCGUAAGCUUAUAGACAUGCUUUUUAGACAUAGGCUUGAAAGGCUGCACUUUUCCUCCAUUUAUACUUUUAUAACUAAUGUUUUGCCUCUCUAAAAUACGCUGCUAAUUUGUUCUAAGACCUGGCAAUGUAUUCUGUUCGUCUUUAAAUACCUGGAAAAGUUCUUUUUAUUGCUAUGCAGGAGGGAAUGUACUUCUCAAACUCUUCUCCUUUCUUCUUUCGGUGUUGGAGACUUCUUUGGUUCUGCAAUCUAUUUUUAUUUUCAACAGUGGUAUUUACUUUCUUUUCCAUUACACAAGACUAAUAGAAAAAGAACUAAACUGUGGUCAUACAGGUGAGUGUUUCUGUGCUCCCUAAAAGAGCUUCCUUCUCCUGCUGUUUGGCACAUCUGUCAUAACCAGUGGGGAUAUUUCAUUCUGAUAAGUUUAGAUAUUUCCAUCCAGUUCAGUGAGAGUUUUCUGUUCAAAAGACCU